rnacentral:rRNA from 1 species
AGAGUUUGAUCAUGGCUCAGGAUGAACGCUGGCGGCGUGCCUUAAGCAUGCAAGUCGGACGAAGAUAUGAGAUGUCGCAAGACAGAUUGUUGAUUAGUGGCGGACGGGUGAGUAUAAGCAGGGAACGUACCUUGAACUAUCGGAUAGCUCGUCGAAAGACGGGGUAAUACGGUAUGUGGACGCAAGUCUAAAGUCGCAAGACGGUUCUAGAGCGGCCCUGUUCCCAUCAGCUUGUUGGUAGGGUAACGGCCUACCAAGGCUACGACGGGUAGGGGGUGUGAGAGCACGACCCCCCACAAUGGCACUGAGACACGGGCCAUACACCUACGGGUGGCAGCAACUGGGAAUAUUCGGCAAUGGGCGAAAGCCUGACCGAGCGACGCCGCGUGAGGGAUGAAGUCUUUCGGGAUGUAAACCUCUUUUAUAUAGCCGUCGAGGCUAUAAGAAUAAGCACCUACAAACUACGUGCCAGCAGUCGCGGUAAUACGUAGGGUGCAAGCGUUAUCCGGAUUCACUGGGCGUAAAGAGUCGUGUAGGUGGUAUAUUGCAUCGCACUUGAAAGCCCGAGGCUUAACCUCGGCGUUGGGUGCGAGAUGAAUAUACUCGAGGAUGAUAGAGGAAAGGGGAACUCAUGGUGGAGCAGUGAAAUGCGUUGAGAUCAUGAGGAACACCAAAGGCGAAGGCACCUUUCUGGGUCAUUCCUGACACUGAGACACGAAAGCUAGAGGAGAGAAGCAGAUUAGAGACCUGCGUAUUUCUAGCCCUAAACGCAUGCCUGCUAGUUACUCCAUUUUUUGGAGCGACGUAAGCUAACGCGUUAAGCAGGCCGCCUGGGGAGUACGAUCGCAAGAUUAAAACUCAAAGGAAUGACGG